rnacentral:rRNA from 1 species
CCUACGGGAGGCAGCAGUGGGGAAUUUUGGACAAUGGGCGCAAGCCUGAUCCAGCUAUUCCGCGUGUGGGAUGACGGCCCUCGGGUUGUAAACCACUUUAGUUGAGAACGAAAAGUAGCUCUCGAAUACAUAUCUCUGCUGACGGUACUCUAAGAAUACGCACCGCCUAACUACGUGCCCGCAGCCGCGGUAAUACGUAGGGUGCGAGCGUUAAUCGGAAUUACUGGGCGUAAAGGGUGUGCAGUCGGCUGAGUAAGACAGAUGUGAAAUCCCCGGGCUUAACCUGGGAACCGCAUAUGUGACUGGUUGGCUAGAGUGCGUCAGAGGGAGGUGGAAUUCCACGUGUAGCAGUGAAAUGCGUAGAUAUGGGGAAGAACACCGAUGGCGAAGGCAGCCUACUGGGACGCAACUGACGCUCAUACACGAAAGCGUGGGGAGCAAACAGGAUUAGAUACCCUUGUAGUC